AACGAACGCUGGCGGCGUGGAUAAGACAUGCAAGUCGAACGGGACUAAAUCUGUAGCAAUACAGGUUUAGUUUAGCGGCGAACGGGUGCGUAACACGUGGGCAAUCUGCCGAGAAGUGGGGGAUAGCUCGCCGAAAGGCGAAUUAAUACCGCAUAUGAUCAGGGACGACAUCUUCCCAACAUCAAGGCCGGGGCGAACCUGGCGCUUCUUGAUGAGCCCGCGGCCUAUCAGCUAGUUGGUGAGGUAACGGCUCACCAAGGCUAUGACGGGUAGCUGGUCUGAGAGGACGACCAGUCACACUGGAACUGAGACACGGUCCAGACACCUACGGGUGGCAGCAGUCGAGAAUUUUUCUCAAUGGGGAAACCCUGAAGGAGCGACGCCGCGUGGAGGAUGAAGGCUUUUCGGGUUAGUAAACUCCUGUCUAUUUGAGAACAAGUGUGGUGAAGUAACUACUCACCACUUGAUAGUAUCAGAAGAGGAAGAGACGGCUAACUCUGU
rnacentral:rRNA from 1 species